rnacentral:misc_RNA from 1 species
CAACCAUCAAGCCCCGGGCUUGUGUUGGGGCCCUGCGGCUGCCGCAGGCCCUGAAAACCAGUGGCGGGCUCGCUAGUCACUCCGAGCGUAGUAGUUUACACCUCGCUCAGGGCGUGCUGCGGGUUCCGGCCGUUAAAAGCCUUAUUUUACCCAAGG